AGCCAGUCAUCUUUACUCCCCUUCCACCUCAUUACAGGCUCAUAAAUAUGCACCACAGCUCAGAAGCAUAAUUAAGACCCAUGAGUCCUGGGAUGAGCAUGCGCACUAACAGCCCCUGAGAGGGCUCAGCACCCUGUCAGUCAGUCACACCUAGAGAGUCAGGGAGAGGCACCUAGAGCAGAGGCGUCUGGCUUUAAAUUCUGAGAGCCUGAGUUAUCGGCUGCUUUUUCGUGUGUGGCUCUUGCGACCUUCGACCUGUGUGCCGUGCUUUUCUGUUGCCUGGCACCUUUCCCGGUCAGUGUUGUACCUUUGUUGGGAUGAACUGGCCCUAAGCACAACUUCCGGUGAUCCUCAGCAAAAGUGGCUGCUUACUACUUACUGCUGGGUGUAUGCUUGACAGUUCUUUCCUCAUCAUACCCAAGAACCUGGAUUAUUAUUGGAUCAUUCAACUGCAACCCUUACUGAAUUAAUGGAUGUCACUUACUUGUGAGCUAAGAGCCCUGCAGUCCAGGGCAAGAUGAGCACAGAUGAUGCAAUGGGGACUCGGCCGAGGCAGCAGGUAAUCAGGAGCCGCCCGGUGGCCUCACUGUCCACCACUGGGCGAGGACGAGCGCAGGUCAAGGAGACCGGGAGGCCAGGCGGUGUCCUGGAGCAGGGUCCCCGGGGAGUUGAGAGUCCAGCACGAAGGGCAGAGAGGCCACUCCAGGUGAGAGGAGCCCCCAAAACUCAAGAGCUGGCCUGGCCCGAACCCUGGUGGGAGAACCCUACUGACUGCUUUCCCCCAGACCAAAACGCACAGACAGGAGGCCUCCCUCAGCUCCAGCCAGGUCCCUGGAAUGUGCUCCAUGGCUCCCAGUCUGACCACAGUCUCACGAGAGUGAGCUGCGUCCUGUCCACAGUGGCCUAGAACCUGGGAAGCACCUGGCACGGACCCUCCACUUCCUACACAUGAUUGCUCGGGACUCCCGGGGGAACAGCAACAGGGCAUUUUUGUGGUCAAGAAAUGUCUGUGGCAGCCAUGGACACCCCCGGACCUCCUUGGACCCUGCUGAGGUGCAGGCUACAUUCCUGAAGAUUCUCAACUGCCAGCUCUGAUCUAUGGCUGCUUCCUGGGAGGUACAUGGGAUCAUGGGAUGAGAGGCAGCCAGAGCCAGAGAUAGCCAGAAGAAAGGUCUCAAGAAUCCCAACGCAGUGACCAGGUCCGCAGCAUGGAGACCGAGACUCUCCCUGGUUUGACCAUUCCAAGAAAAUGAAAUGUGGAGGAGUACAAGAGAUCUGUACACACACUAGAAACCCAAAGAAUCCAGCCGAUGGCCUGGAUCCCACAGCAGUGGCCCAGCUAAAGGCCUAGAGCCCACGGCAGUGUCUCAUGCUUGUCCAUAUCAGAGAUCUGUACCGGCAAGCCACAAAGGCCACUGGAAGCUAGAAAGCCUGAACUGGUGAGGUGAAGGAUCAGUGCCACCAGGCUGAGGGAUCUGCACUGGAGCCAGGAAGUGAUUCUCCAGGUAAAGACCAGAGCUCUCCUGCUGAGAACAGUAGCCAUUCCCAGCGCCAGCGAGACCCCAAGCACCUCCUUCUAUGAGAGCAGCCAAGUUUGCAUCAGGAAAACCAGCCACGGUAAGCUCCCCACCCUGCCCCGUGCCCCAAAAAUCAACAGCACACGAUCUUCCCCUCCAGUUCUUUUUCUGCCAUUGGCAACAAUCCUCAGGUGGGUCUUGCACACCCAGAACCACCCUGAUUCAGUUCAGCUGAGCAUUCCAACUUGACCGUUAGUUAAUCCACCACAACUAUCAUGAACAGAAAUGAAUUCCUGAUUUCUUUCUUGAUGGAUUCAUUAUUGGUGUAUAGAAACACUAUUUGUAUGUUGAUUUUGUAUCCUGGCAUUUUGCUGAAUUUGUUUAUCAGGUCUAAAACUCCUCUACUAGAGUUUUUUUGGGGGGUCUUCUAUGUAAAUAAUUAUAUCAUCUGCAAAGAGGAAUUGUUUAACUUGCUUUCCUAUUCGUACCCCUUUUAUUGCUUUCUCUUAAACCUGCUUGCUCUCACUGAAGUUUCCAGUACACAAACACUGAGGAGGACUGUCGAGAGUGGACACUGUAGGAACCAGCCUAUGAGCUUGAACCUGACCAAGGGGUGACGAGGAUGAAAAAUAAGGAGACGCAGGGCUGGGGAUUUAGCUCAGUGGUUUCGCCGCCUGAUGUGCAAGCAAAAGGAUCUGGGUUCAAUCCCUGGCACCAAAAAAAAAAGGAGACACAGAAACAGGUUAAAAUUUGGAGUGCCAGGAGGCUCAUGUCUCCCCUCCACAUAGAGCCCCAAGUGCCUGGUGCAUGUUGGCUUUAUUCGCUCAACUCAGUCAGAGCCAUUAGAGUUCCACAGGCCGCAUCUGUCUGUCUCCGCCCUCCACGGUGCUUCUCCGGGUGAACACCUCAACCUCAGGUGUUCUUACUUCCCCUGCAGCGUGUGAGCACGCUCACACGCCCUCUCUCUCCUCAGGGAUCUCCGAGCAGGCCAGUUAGGCCUCCUUCUUCCCAUCUGGUCUCCACAGGACACCCGCUCCUCUUUCAUUUAAGAAAAAGCUUUGUUUUCUCCACUUAAUAUGACAUUGGCUGUGGGUCUGUCAUAGGUGGGUUGUAUCAAUUUGAGGUAAAGCCCUCAUUUACACCUAUUUUCAUCCGAGUAUUUUUUUUUAAUCAUGAAAGAGUGUUGGAUUUUUGUCAAGGCUUUUUCUGCAUCCUUUUAGAUGAUCAUGUGAUCUUUAUUCUUGGCUUUAUGGACUGUAUUAUAUUUAUGGAUUUAUGUGUGUUGAAUAAUCCUGUAUCCCUGGGAUGAAGCCAACUUGGUCGUCAUGUGUGAUCUUUUUAAUGAGUCGUGAAUUCAGUUUGUAAAUAUCUUUUUUUUUUUUUGGUACCGGGGAUCGAACUGAGGACCUUGCGCUUGCGAGGCAGGCAUGUCGCCACUGAGUUACAUCCCUAGCCCUCUGUAAAUAUCUGGCCCCCUUCACUACUGGGGAUCAAACUGGGGUCCUUGCGCUUGCGCAGCAGGCAGCGAAACCACUGAGUUAAAUCCCCAGCCCUCUUAUUGAGGAUUUUUGCAUCUAUGUUCAUCAAGGAUAUUGGGCUGUAGGUUCUUUUUUUGUGGAGUCCUAAUCCAAUUUUUUGGUAUCAGGGUAAUGCUGGCUUCCACAUCACCAAACUAUGUAGCCCAGGAUGGCCUCCAAUUCAUGGUGAUCCUCCUGUCUCAGCUUCCCAAGUGCUGGGAUUUGGAAGCAUUUCUUCCCUUUCAAUUACAUGGAAAAGUUUGAGGAGUACUGUCAUUCUUUAAAGUUCAGAUAAAAUUCAGUGGUAAAUCCUGAGCUUUUCUUGGUAGAAUUUUUUACUACUGCAUGUUAUGGCUUGUGUAGAUGUUCCUCCAAAGUCUCAUGUGGUCACUGGUGGGGAUUUUCAGAGGUGGCUGGAUGUAGGGUGUGUGAUGCUGGGAUUAAGGGUGUGUGAUUACUUAAUUAGUCCACUGAUUGGUUUGGUUAUAGUCAGUCCUGAGUGUAGAUAAUGAGAAGGCCAGAGGUAGGUGUGAGUGCUACCCACCCUAAGGGCAGGUAGCCUAGAUAAAAUAUAAGGGACACAAAGCUUGCUGCUUGCUUCUUCUCCAAUACUUCACUGCUUUGUUGCCUUCUGCCUGCUAUGAACUGUUUCUCCUCUGUGAUGCCUCUCUGCUUUGGAGCCUGCUGAGUAUGGACUGAAACCUCUACCAACUAUCCUCUCUGCCAAGGCUGCUGUGGCUUCAGAGUGCUAGGCAGGGGGCCUGGAGGGAACCAGGAAAGAGGAGCAGGACGCUGUCCUGUGGGCCCACACUGGGCUUUCCCAAGGCUGCAAACUCUGGCACCUGAAGAAAAGAAAGGACAGUAAAUGAUUAAACAGCGCUGGGGGAUGGCCUUUGAGGUGAGGAAGGCAACAUCUGCAGGGAGCUCCUCAGAGGAACCCCAGCCGGCUGCAGGCCGCAGGCAGACGGUGGCAGCACGGCCUCCAGCAGGGGCAUUGUCCACUCAGGCAUGUCCUUCUCACUCAGCCUGCUAAUGCUUCUAUGCUGGCAGAGGCCCCAGUGUUUUUUCCAUCUCUUCUCAAAACCUUAUAUAAACCAUUCACUCAUUUUCAUUGAUUCGGCUGGAUUAAUUU
ensembl:lncRNA